AUGGGGUCGAUUAGGAGAUGUUUAACUGACUCCACCAUGAUGUUGCUGAACCUUCAGACUAUCGCCUUUAGACGGGUUCUGUUGAUCUGGGAUCUGCUCGGUGAGUCACUCUUGAGUCUUUCAUUUUGUGGCGAAACAUUUGGCUCCUUGCCCCCCUCCCACGCCAAGAACAGUGAACUUCAUGAUGGCGCUUUGGCGUUUGUGGCAGUUAAACUGCACAGUAAAAGUAAACUGGUGAACAGUUUAUGUAGAAAGUAACUCUUGUGGGAGGUGUGCAAGGGGGCGGGGGCUUCAGUGAUGCACCACAGUGCUCCCACUCUGUCCUUGGCUUCCAUGUGAUGAGUGUUUCCAUUUGUUCAACUGCUCUGAAAUGUGAUUGACAGCUGCAUCUCUGAACAAGCCAUACCUUAAACUGAGACUGUUCUUUGCCCCGCUGCAUCACGCUCAUUUUUAAAAAUAUGUUUUCCUUCUGCCUGCAGCUUUCACCGCGGCGAUCACCUGAAGGGCUGAGCUGUCGGUAGACACAGAUCAGGUAUGUCUUUAAUCAUUGCAUCUGUACUUCAUGUAAGGGUUACUGGCUGACUAAGUAUGCAUGACGUGGAAGCCUGAAUUGUCUGACGUGAAGCGGAGGACAUUCUGAUGAUGCAUACGUCAAAGGCCAUUAACCCGCUUAUAUCACGGUCACUUAAAUACACAUAAAUAUUCAGUUUUUAGUACUUUAAUUUUUUCAGUUUGGAUCGCUUUAUUCACAAAAAGCAGACCACUUGUUACGUGGUGCACAUUGUCACAUAACAGACUCCAGUGGCGCAGCCAAUCAGAAUCGAGUAUUCACCUGGACCAUGGUAUAAAUUAAAUUAUCCUGUGAAAAAAGGCAAUGUACUAUGUUUGGAAAAGUUCUGUAGCUCAAGAUUUAUUUCUCAUUGUCAGUGAAACAACGAAAAUGCGUUUAGAGCGUCAACAACAGCCACUCAGUUCAAUUCACCAAAUAAAUACCCAAUAAAUAAAUAAAUAACCUGAUGAGGUGAUAUAAGUUGGGCCAGGUACCCACCACAAGUUCUUGGUUCGGUUUGUGCAGAGCUUCAUAACUGAUUUACUGCCACCUGCUGGAUGGAGGGUAUGAAAGCGGAAUCUUUCUGGAGAAGCUGAACUGCAAAUAUUUAGCUUUGUUUGGUUCAGUGUAGAUAGAUUUGUCUUACACAAACCUGAGGUCUAUCCCAACGGGUCUUUCGCCGUAGGGCCAUGUUGUUGGAAAUACCUCAGAGAGCAAAUGUGCAGUUCGCUUUACCCACAUGUUCAGUGUGAGCCUGCUGGGAUAUGACUGCAAACACUUCUUCAUGGAGCCGUACGGCAGCAGCUGAUGCUCCGCUCUGUUGUUCGACAGGUUUGAGGCUCUCCUCCAGGGGAUCUGGUGAAACUGAAGCAAGAGGCCGCGAAGCGUCAUCUGCCUGAAGAUGUACGUUAGAGUCCAUUUAUUGACAUGUUUGUGACAGCACUGUGUGGUAUCUGCAGCCAGCUGCUGCUCCGGCUGGUUUGCUCAAAAGUCAGUGCGAUAGGAUGUCAGCCCUUGGCAUCGUUGGUCUCUGUGCUGUCUGUGCAUGGGGUCCUGGAAGAAUGGCUGAGACAAACGCAUACUGCAGCAUGUGAAGACGUUCGAUUGCAAGGAGUUCAUCUUCUUUUUAAGGUUUCUGCACUGGUGACUCUUCAGAGACGAGGAGGGGUGAAGAUGUGAAACCAGGCAGCAUUGAAGGUAAUGUGUAUCCGUCUGUUGUCAUGACAACUGUAAGACAAAACUGAGGUAGCUCUCUAUAGCGAUGAAGAGUUGAGCAUCUAUGGAAAGCCUGUCUUCAGGGUUGGUCAUUUACCAAAGCUCUCAGGAUCCUAUGUUCCUGAUUUGCUGUGGAGUUGACCACAAAGCAAACGUCAUUCCUGUGGGUUUCUGGGUCUCCAGAGGACUCGCAGGAAACAAGCCUCCAUGUUUCAUAAAGUGGAGGAAUGAUUGGUGCUUUUAUUUAAUAUGAAUGCUAGAAAUGUGAUGCUUCAUUUGUGUUUUUCUUUUUCUUUUUUUACAUGAAUAAAGCUGAUCUCAUUCAGAGCAGACUGUGACCUGUAUCCAUCUGUUCUCAGAGGCUGUCCAGCUCUGGAGGUCAGCUGUGAAGAUGACCUGCAGCAAAGGAUAAAGCUGCCCUUUGGACUGCAGAGUGACUAGACAUGUUUGGUUCAGACAUGAUGUUGACCAUUACAAAAUAAAGUCUGCCUUUAUCAACUCAUAAGACUGUUUUUGUUGUUCUAAUUGGAUUUAUAGAAAUGAAUCAUCUCACUGACUGAUUUGCAGUGGUGGUCAGAUGUCAAUUAUCUGCAGCUCCCUCAAGUUCCACUAUGAGCAUCAUGUGCUCGCUGUAAAGUGUCCCCAGUGGUCUUUAAUUAGAAUUAUACUUUUAGCCAAAAUAAUAAAUUAAAAACUUCCAUUUUCUAGAACAGUUUCUGCUGAAAAGGCAGUGGUUCAGUAGAAAUUCAGCUGAAUUGUGGUGGGACUGUUGGUGCAGAGUAACCCUCUGUCUUGCUGAGAGCUCAGUUGAACUGGAGCAGGGAGCUUUUGUUCUUCAAGCGUAUUUUCUGUCAUAAAGGUCUUUUUUUUUUUUAAACUGCAUUUUCUGUCUGCUGCUCAUUCACAAAUUGAAUACUCAAAAAUGCAGUUUUAUUCUUGAUUUUCUAUAUGGCCUCCAGGAAAAACGCCACAAGAACCUUGUGCUAUCCUAGGCACUUAACAUUGGGAGUUGGGUCAUCUAGACCCACUAGACAGUGCGCUGAACCUUUUUUCUUCAAUGAUUUGUGAUCUACACUGGUGUCCAUGGAUUACAUGAAAUCUUUCCACCUUUAUCCACCUUUGUCAUGGUAGGGAGAACACGUCAAUGUAAGGGUGGGGUCAUCUAAGAUAGCACAAGGGUUAAAAACACCAAAACAAUUCCCACCAGUGGGUCUGUCAAGAUUCCACUGGCAUUUGGAGCUAACAGCCUUUAUUGGCUCCUAGUUUGUUAAAAUGAUUUGGAAUCUGCACAGAAACAAAGAAACCAGCGUGAAAUCAUUUUUUUUUUCUUAGCUGAGAAUUGCUAUG
rnacentral:lncRNA from 1 species